AAAGAGGCCUGAAGCAUUAGAAACUGCUAAUUUCUACCCCCAUGGUUAAACUCCA
rnacentral:tRNA from 1 species